rnacentral:tRNA from 1 species
UACAUAGGGAAAGCCGUGUGCAAUGAAAAAUGCAAGCACGGUUUGGGGAGGGUUUUUAAACUAUUUUUUAACUAAGAAAUUCUCUACUCCAUCCGACUAGUUCCGGGUUCGAGUCCCGGGCAACCCA